GCGUGCCUUAUAUGCCUUUUUUAGGUUCUCUUCUUCUCCGGUGUUUCUGUAUCUCGGUUCCUUCUCUGAGUUGUCUCUGUUGCUUGUAAGUUUGGAUUUUGUAUUAUUUGGUUGUCUGUCUAUCCUGUUCAUCUGUCUUUGCGUCGUAAGCUCUUCUCAUCACGUGAUAGUCAUCUGUAUGAUUCAUCAAUUUCUGUAUGUUAUACAUGUUUUUAUUAGCUAUGAUGCAACGAAAAGUUGACUGUUGAUGAUCCAGGUGUUGUUUUGCUUUGGAUUUUGAGUAAGUAGCUGUUUGUUGUAAGGUGAGUUUCGAUUUAAUGAGAUUUGUAACCUAAUGCUUCGAUUGUUAGUCGUUUUGAAGUUUUUGUCAAGGUAUUGAAAUAAUCUAUGUUUGUUUAUUUGCUUUAAAACUAAAAAGCCAACGACCCUUUCUCUUCCGCCACCGCUACGGAACCCUCAAUUAGCCGUCAUUGUCUUCCACCCUAUCCUACUUUGAGGGGUUUCCUUCACUAAGAUGCAUCUCACAACUAUUUUAUAUAUCUUUUUUAGAUUUUAAAAGUGAAUUCUAUAUAUUUCUUUUCUAGAUUUUAAAAUAAAAUAUUUAUCCAACUAAAAAAUGUAAAUCAAAGACAUCCGAUAUAAAUUUAAAUCUCUUAUGCAAUCCAUUUAAUUUUUAAAAAUAUAUGUUGAGAUGUAUUCCCACUUUACCUUUUAUAUUGAAUAAAUGUAUAAUAGUUUUUGCGUUUGUGUUGCAGGAGCUGGUACUACCCGAUCAAGUUAGUAUACAAUAUGUUUUGUAUUUGUUUGUUUAGUUGUCUGUUAAGUAAGUUUUUUGUUAGUUAAAACCUUAGUAGAAUCAAUAUCUACGUUAUGUUUACCUCACGAAAAUGGUAUGUACACCGAUGAAUAUAUUCCUUAUAUCUGCUCUUACUAAAUCAAUAUUUUAUAAUAUACUAUACUAAGUUACAUGUAUUUAUUAAAUACAGCAAAGCAAUUUUACAUGCAAAGAAUGGGUAACUGAAAUCACUCUAAAUCGUAAAUGGUUUCGUUUGUGAGGACGAUGGUUGUGUUACUUGCCCUGUUUUCAUGUAAACUUCAUCGUCAGAUUUUACAAAAAAUAAUAUUUGGUUCAUGGUAUAUUCAGUUUUGUAUUUAAUCUUCUCAAAUUAUCAGGUACAAUGGUACAAAUGUUGGAAAAAUCAUGCUAUGACAUGGUGGUCAAGGAUGGAUAUACGAUCCAGAAAUCAUGCCUAUAGAAAUCUUUAAUAUUCCCAAAGAAUUACACCUAUUGAUGUGUCCAUAAGAGAACCGAACAAUGGCUAUGAACAAAGCUAUCUAUAUUCCCAGCGACCCCAGAUCCUAAAGCAGCGACAUUAAAAAAAGAAUGCAACGAUCACCAGUUCCAUAGAUAAUGAAACAACAGGAAGGCAAGCAAAACAGUAAAAGGAUACUGGGCAAGGCAAUUUUUUGGGUGGCCGAAACAACUCCGGAUGCAUCUAACAAGAUGGGCAUUUUCCAGUGAUAAAUUCCAGCCUACAAGUAGAAUACGAUGUGGUUAGCCUUCAUAGGCAGCGUAUCAUAUGCCAUUUUAUCAACGUGCAGGUCAACUGGGACGAAUUACAAAGGUAGUAACUUUUGUGUUAAAAAAAACAUGACAAGGACACUGAUGUUAUUAGAAUAUAACCAAAGUAUUUAAUCUAUAGUUUGCAAUAUAAAGCAACCAACUUUGCUUCACAAAACAUAGUGAACACCUAAUACGUCAGGUUAUUCAUACGAUGUUUGCGAUAUACCUAUACGCGUUCCAUUCAAUGUUUGUGACAUACCCGCGCCGCAACGCGCUCGGGUCUGACCACUAGUUAGUAAGAAGAAGAUAGCUGCAAUAAUAUAUGGGGAAGCCAUUUGAGAGAAUGGAUUUGAUGAUGGGUAUGAAGUUGAAAGAUGGAAUGCAAAUAAAAGGGCAUGAAGGAGGCUUAUAUAGUGUUUGAGGUAAGCCGCGUGGUGAAGAUGUCUUUGUUUGAUCAACAGUUGUAUGAUGGGCUGACUUUGUCCUUUGCUCGUUCACGCAUGGAAGCUCAGCAAAAUGUUAAAAUUUGACAUUCUCACCAAGUCAAUAAAGUUACUCCUCUAUUCAAAUAUUAAACUAACACAUGCAUCCACUACAGCACUACUUUUCUUUUGUCCCAAGAUGACUACAUAUAUAAAAGAGUUUACUAGCUAUAAAUAACAUUAUAAAUGUUAUUAAUAGUUAUAAGUUAUAUUAUGACAUGUUUAUAAAUAUAGCGAUCUAAUAUAUUUAUUUCACACGCUUGACGCUUGCUAGCUUUAAUAUGAUUUUAUCCCAACUCUAGAAGCAAAAUAAUUAGGCUGACAAUAUCAUGAUAAAAAGCCAACUUAUUAUGGAAAAAAAAAAAAACUGUGUAUAAAUUGUUUAAUUAUGAGAUUAUGAAACACUGUUAAAAUUUAAAAACACCAAAGUGUGAAUUUAAAGAUAUCUGAAAUGAUAUUUUUUCAUAUAGCGCAUGGUUGAAUUCUUAAUAUUGAAUUGUUAGAUUUAGUUUGAUAAUGAGUGAAUCUUCUUCUUUAGGUCAUAUGAAAUAAACAAACUCGAAUAAUUAUAAUAGAUGAUUUGUUUUCUAAUCAUAUGAGUGACUUGGUUUAUGAUACUUAAUGGUCCUAAUUAUAAUCAUGGAGUUGGUGUGUCCUGUAGAAGUAAGAUUAGGAAUAUUAUUCAUUAUAAUCAAUCCUAGUGGAGGUUUUUUUUUUCCUGAAUCAUAGGUGGAUGCUAGGUG